UGGCAGCCACAGGCACACUUAGAGUUC
rnacentral:piRNA from 1 species